rnacentral:sRNA from 1 species
GCUGGGCAUGUUGAUACAUGUCUGUAACCUCAGCAACUUGGAAGGCUGAGGCAGGAGAAUCACAAAUUAGGUCAGCAUCUUAAUGAGAUCCUCUGCAACUUAGUGAGAUCCUGUCUCAA